rnacentral:miRNA from 1 species
AAGCCAAGGGUGACUUGCCUGA